AACGCGAAGAACCUUACCAGGGUUUGACAUGCAUUUGCACCGUCCAGAGAUGGACGUGCCCGCAAGGGACAGAUGCACAGGUGCUGCAUGGCUGUCGUCAGCUCGUGCCGUGAGGUGUUGGGUUAAGUCCCAUAACGAGCGCAACCCUUAUCGUUAGUUGAAUUUCUCUAACGAGACUGCCACUAAAAAGUGGAGGAAGGUGGGGAUGACGUCAAGUCAGCACGGCCCUGACAUCCUGGGCGACACACACGCUACAAUGGUCGGGACAGAGGGAAGCAAACCCGCGAGGGGGAGCCAAUCUCACAAACCCGAUCUCAGUUCGGAUUGCAGGCUGCAACUCGCCUGCAUGAAGUCGGAGUUGCUAGUAACCGUGGGUCAGCACACCACGGUGAAUACGUUCCCGGGCCUUGUACACACCGUAGUAC
rnacentral:rRNA from 1 species